UACGUAGGGGGCGAGCGUUGUCCGGAAUUAUUGGGCGUAAAGAGCGUGUAGGCGGCUAGACAGGUCAGCUGUGAAAACUCGAGGCUCAACCUCGAGACGUCGGUUGAAACCGUCUGGCUAGAGUCCGGAAGAGGAGAGUGGAAUUCCCGGUGUAGCGGUGAAAUGCGCAGAUAUCGGGAAGAACACCCGUGGCGAAGGCGGCUCUCUGGGACGGUACUGACGCUGAGACGCGAAAGCGUGGGGAGCGAACAGG
rnacentral:rRNA from 1 species